UUCCACCUGCAUCUUUGGCGCACGCACAUAACGUCCGCGCAAGGCUCUCGCGGUGCUGUCUUGCGCCCGCUCGAGGUCCACCUUGAUAUUCAUACUCACACAGGGUGAUCACCAGCAGACAGAACAGUGACUGUGCACCUAUCUCGCUCUCUCUUGCACAUUACCGUAACACACACACACACACGAAGACACGUGCGUUAAUAACGGACAAGGAGGCAGUAGAAGAGCAACCACCUUUCAUCACGGAUUCCUUUGAGAGAAUGAACAGCAAGGCUAUUUUGUUCGUGUCGAACAUAUCGUCGAUCGCAAAUGCGCAAUACCUAGAGCGGUUAUUCUCGGCGUACGGAACUGUGCACCACGUGGAGCUGUUCGGCGAGGGCCCACACCGCUACGCAGAGGUGACAUAUGGCACCGUCGAUGACGCCGACGCUGCUGUGGCGGCGCUGCACUGCCACUACCAGACGUGCCGCAACUUGCCGAUGAUUGUCCUCUACUCACAGAAUAGUCCCGCCGUCUCCGUCUACGGCCAUCAAGUCGGGGAGGAGUUCAUGAAGGCAGCAGAGGAGAAGCGGCCACCUCGCCCGCUCAUGUUGGACGAGUUCGAUAGCAAUUACCAACGCCUUGGGGUGCAGCCGCCGCCUUCUGAGAGCGAAAUCAUCCUCGAGCACCACACUCCGGGUUACUAGCGAGGAAAGGGGAGGGGGGCGAAGGGCACCGAAUGAGGGAUGUACGCACGACUUCGAUAGGCGUGAUCCUCUCCUAUGUCCCUCACUCUCUGCCCCUUUUUGCUGCUCUACACUUGCCUCUUUAAGUCCCAACAUGGCGAUCGGUUCUCUUGUGCGACCCGGCUUGAACUUGCGGAAGAGGGUGGCGCUAUGUACUUAGGCGGUUUGGGUGUUAUCGGGUGUGAUCGGUAACUAACAGCACUUUAUCGUUGGCCUUUCUUUUUGCUUCAUCCCAUCUCUUCACUUUUCGUUGUUGUCGCUGUCGUGAAAGGCGAGUUCCUCUUUUGUUUGCACCUCUGUGUAUCUUCGGUACUUCUUUUUGCUCGUCUCCGGACGCAUGCUCGCGUUUGUGGUUGUUGCGCGCGUGCCACGCUUGCGUUCCUGUUGCGCAUAGCACCGUCCUCCCUCCUUGCUUUCUGCCGAGCUGCAAAGGGUGAAGUCCGCCAUUCCUUGGAAUGGAAUUAAUUGCAUUUGUUUUGGCGUGCGUGCGUGGGUGCUGUUGGUCGGCGCCUUGCCCCUCUUUCUUGUCCACGUCCACUCCACACCACAACGAGGCCUCAAACACCUCCCCACUCCCUUUCCCGCAUCUGCUCGAGUGUGCCACUCUCUCGCCGUCAUCACGUCUUCUCUUCUCCGAGCUUCUGUUUGCCAUGUUUGCUCUUUCUGAUCGCAUUUUUUGGGUGUCUCCACAUUUCUCUGUACUGCGUGUUUAUGUGCUUUGCCUUCAUCUCCACUGCGCUCUCUCUUUUGGGCCUCCCCUCCCACUCCUCCAGUUCUGACGAGAACGAAAAUAGAAGUGGUGAGCCCCCCCCCACCCACCCACCUCACUCCCACCCUAAAGCACCCAACCACGCAGAAAGAAACAAAAAGAAAAGAAGCCAGUGCUACUUCCUGUCAUUAGAUGCAUGCAUGUGGGGUCUCGAGAGCGAACGCAUGCCGCUGUGUCAGAGGGAGGGGCGCUUGCCAGCUUCUAUGGGCGGUGUCACCUCUCACGUUCACCGCUGUCCACCGCUUUAGUGCGCCGCGGAUGCGGGGGUCGGAUCGCAGAUUCUUUCGGCAAUGCUCAUAUGUGGAUGACAGAUGUGCAUUUCUGCGUUUCGUGUGCGACUCCUUCACCUACUCGUCAGAUUUUGAGAGCCUCUGUGGCCGCGCCGGUUCUUUGGCGCUUUUGUGUGCGCUUUUCCUUUCUUAUUGUGUGAUGGUGCUUCUCCUAACUGACCACAGACUCUCUCGCUAUCUUUGGCCCUUUUCAG
rnacentral:misc_RNA from 1 species